CAGCUAUUUUCAACCAAAGAUAUGCCUAAUCAGAAAAUCCUGAUGCCUGUCACUUCAUCUAUCUGUCAUCUCCAUUUCUCAAGGCAUUUCAUUUAUGAGGGGGUUUUAAUCACCAAAAGACGUUUCAUCUGUUCAUUUUGAAAAACAUUUCCCCUUGUCCCAUUCAUCUUCUCUUAUCUUCAAUCUGGUUCUCGUUCACUGUCAGUAACCUUCUGCAGUUCUGCAAAUCGAUGAACUCCUUCAACCAGCGAUCGCUUCCGCAGCGAAAGCGAAGGGGACUUCUUGAUGAAUUUUCGAGCAAGAAAGGAGAACAUCUCCUUCUCUGUUUCUAACCACAAUCCCUGAAGCCGAUUGGAAGAGUCUCGCAUCAUAUGCUCCAUCAAAGUUGAUUUUUACCGCUUGUCCCGAUGGCUCAUAACGCACAACCGAUUCGUCUAUUUUGAGGAGGAGAGUAAUGGGGCAUUUUCUAAAAAUAUGAUCCAUGGUCUCGGCUCCUGCAUUACAACGGGGACAAACUGAGUUGGACACUAACUUCCUGUGCUGCAUGUUCACUCGAGUUGUCAAAUAAUUUCAUGAAAGUUUCCAGAUUGUAAUUUUUAUUUUUGUAGGUAGUUUUAGGAGCCAUAUUUUUUUGUAAAAAUCCCUAUAGAUGUUUUGUAAAGCAUAAGCUCUAGGAUCCGAAAUCUGUAAUAGUUUGUAGGCGCUCCGCACUGAAAAUUCUCCCGACGGCUCACCACUCCACACCAUGAAAUCAUCGUGAGGCUCUCUCGCCAGAGGGAUACGAAGGAUCCUGCUACUUCUUCUUCCUCAAAGGUAUCAACAAUUAACUCUCCUUUCCAUUUACGUUCAGCACUAUUAAUCAAAUCAGCAACUUUAAAAUCUGUCAUAGUAAAAGGAACCGAGGAUAAUAUAAAUUUAAUUGCACCUGGAAUCCAUGCAUCGUUGGCAAUAGAAAUGUUCAAUCCCGUACCCACCUUCCAACAAAGGCCUUUUGCCAAGAUACCCUUUGUCGCCCAUAUAUUUUUCCAAACAUACGAGUUUUUAUUCCCCAAACAUGAAUUUAAAAAAUCCUCAUUCGGGAAGUACUUCGCUUUAAAAACUCUCGUAACUAAAGAAUCUGGAUUGGUUAUAAGCCUUCACCCUUGUUUUGCUAAAAGCGCAAUAUUAAAUUGAGACAUAUUCCUGAAGCCCAGUCCACAUUCUUCCUUAGGGUGACACAUGUGCUUCCAUUGGCACCAAUGAAUACUUCUCUUUCCAUACCUUUUUUGCCACCAGAAUUUAGCGAAAAUCAUUGGAAAUUCUCCGCACAAUGAAUUUCGUAGGAAGAAACAAGACAUAGCAUAGGUAGGUAUUGCCUGAAGAACUGAUUUGAUGAAGAUUUCCUUUCCCCCUUGUGAUAAUAGUCUACCACUCCAUCCUUCAAUUUUCCAAGAAAUCCUUAAGGUUUUGAAAAGACUCCUUUCUUCUGCCAACCAUGCGAGGGAGCCCCAAGUAUUUCUCCAAGUUUGUUGAAACCCUUACUCCUAGCAACUCUGAAAUUUCGUUCUUUAUGUGUCCUUUUGAAAUCGAACUAUAAAAUACUGUUGAUUUUUCAAAAUUUCCACAUUGGCCUGAACAGCUUUUAUAUUCUGUAAUAUUUCUUUCAUCAUCAUUGCUUUCCUUGUUGUUGCUUCGUCAAACAGAAUGCAAUCUGCAAAAAGGUGGGAAAUCUCUAGGCCUCUUCUACUAGUCUUUAUUCCUUUUAAUAGCCCUUCCCCCAUUUCCAAUCUCAUCAAUAAUGAGAAACCCUCACUGCACAUAAGAAAAAGUAAAGGGCUAAGAGGAACACCUUGUCGAAGCCCCCUAGUUGGUCGAAAAAUUCUUGCCCUACUUCCGUUAAUAUUUACUUUAUACGAGGUUGUAGUAAUGCACUUCAUGACAAGUGCCACCUAGUCUCUUGUGAAUCCCAUCUGUAACAUUAUGGCCUGAAGAAAACCCCAUUUGACUGUCAUAAGCUUUACUCAUGUUAAGUUUCACUGCCAUAUAUCCCUUUUUCCCAUCUGGCGAAAAGUAUGUAGGAUUUCAUAAGCUAGAACAUUAUCCGAAAUUAAUCUCCCGGGAACGAAAGCACUAUGUGCUUGAUCAAUACAUCUCCCAAUAACAUCUUGAAGACAAUUUGUUAUUGCUUUAGCCACAAUUUUGUAGAUAACCGUACAUAAGCUUAUAGGUCUAAAAUGAACUAGUGUUCUGGGAUUUGGACUUUUUGGAAUAAGCACAAUGUCUGUUUGAUUGAAAAAUUCAAGUUUCUGGUCAGAAUUUAAAAUUCCAAACAAAAAUUUUCGACGUCUUUUCCCCCAAUGUGCCAGUACCUCUGAAAAAAUAACGUUGGAAAACCAUCGGGACCCGAUGCUUUUGUAGACCGCAUCCCCUGUAAAGCUGUCUUAAUUUCUUUUGCAAUGAACGAAGACGAUAGUUUAGUAUUUAAAUCAUAAGAAAUACUAACACCCAUUAGCAAAUGAGACAAAUCGCCAAUUCCGUUUGACGUAAACAACUUUUGAAAAAAUAUCGUUGCAGCCUCAAUAAUUUCUAAGCUGUCCAUAGUUUCCUUUCCACCCUCCAGCUCCAACAUGGAAAUUAUGUUUAUUCGUUUUCAAGUUGAGGCGAACUUAUGAUAAAGAACAAAAUUUUUGUAUCCUAAUUUCAGCCAAUUUACUCUUGCCAUUUGUUCUCAAUACAUUUCAUGUUUGUCAAUUUCCAUUUUAAGAUGUGAUGUAACCAUUUUUUUUUUUUGAAAAAUGACGGGAAUUGAUUUGGAAAAUGAACACAAAAAUUGAGAGUUGUCACUAAUUUUUUUUGAUUAGGUGUGAUUGGGUCAUCUCGUUGAAGUGGUUUUUUAAUAAAUAAUUUGAUAUAUUUAAAUAAAAAUUUUGGUCUACGCAAAUCAAGAAAUUAGAUUUUGGAGUCAGUUACGUAUGAGGAUGGAUUAGCACCUUCGAUAUGUUUGAAAUUGGUAUUUAAUUAAUUAGUGUCUUAGUGUUGAAGAUUGAAAAUUUAAAAGAAUUUAAGAUACGAUUUUUUUUUUUGUAAAGUGAUCAUUGAAAUUUCAAAGAUAUCUUCGUCUCAAGGUAACGACAUGUUAUAUUCAGUGAGUUAGGAUAUAGUCUUGAACAUUUGAGAAUGAGUUUGCUUUUUAUUUAAAAUAAAUAUAUUUUGACCUCUUUUAGAAA